rnacentral:rRNA from 1 species
ACAAGCGGAGGAGCAUGUGGUUAAUUCGAUGAUACGCGAGGAACCUUACCUGGGCGUCGAACGUAAGAUGACUGUAGGUGAAAGCUUACAUCUCUUCGGAGCAUUUUACGAGGUGCUGCAUGGUUGUCGUCAGCUCGUGCCGUGAGGUGUCGGGUUAAGUCCCAUAACGAGCGCAACCCCUACCUUUAGUUGCCAUCAGGUUAAGCUGGGGACUCUAAAGGAACUGCCUACGCAAGUAGUGAGGAAGGCGGGGAUGACGUCAAAUCAGCACGGCCCUUACGUCCAGGGCUACACACGUGCUACAAUGGCCGAUACAGAGGGCAGCUACCUGGUGACAGGAUGCAAAUCUCCAAAGUCGGUCUCAGUUCGGAUCGGAGUCUGCAACCCGACUCCGUGAAGUUGGAUUCGCUAGUAAUCGCGCAUCAGCCAUGGCGCGGUGAAUACGUUCCCGGGCCUU